ensembl:antisense Gm11290 predicted gene 11290
UGACUUCACCAGGAGGUUCUCCCUCACUGGUCCUCUUCAGGCUCCGGAGCAGUAGUCCCGGAUCCCACAAAAUCCUGGGAGAAGGCGGAGGGCGCGCUGCUAGGGCACUGGUGCAGAGCCAUGGUCAGAGAUAGGACUGGGGUCCAGGAUACCUUCUUUCUUUGGUGCGAUGGUAGAGAGCAAACGGUGGAAGCUUCUCUUAACGUUCGUUCCUGUGAGCUUCGAUAAGAGGGAUGAAAGCAAGGUAAUGCAUCCUGAGCGUUUAGUCAGGGUAUGCCGCCGCGUCCUCCCAAACAACAGCUACAGAAACAAAGAACAAAGCAAAAU